rnacentral:tRNA from 1 species
GACAGUGUGGUGUAGUGGUUUGAGGGUUGGACUAGGACUCUGGAGAGCAGCGUUCGAAUCCCGGCUCGGUCA